rnacentral:tRNA from 1 species
GGAUAGAUGGCUCAGUGGUUAAGAGCACUGGCUGCUCUUCCAGAGGUCCUGAGUUCAAUUCCCAGCCA